UGUUGAAAUAUUCCUCAAAAUGGAAGGUUAUGUAAACUUUGUAAUGAAUAUAGAAUUAUAGAUGAUAGUCAUUAUUUAUUAGAAUAUAAAUCAUAUAGUUUAAUGUUAGGAAAGAGUUCCAUUAUAGUAAAUACUGUACCAGACCAAAUAUUUUAAAAUUUAACGAAAUUAUGACCUCAAGAAAUGUAGAAACACUUUUUAAAAAACUGUAUUUUUAUUCAAAAAAGCAAUGACACCGUCACACCUCCAUAAAUCUUUCUGUUUCAUGUUUGUAUAUAUGUAUUUAUUUAUGUCAUCAUUUUUUCCCCUUUUUUCUUCUUUGUUUUGGUAUACAUGCCCUCCUCUGACGCCACGAUAUUACGUUUUGUACCUCACGUACUAUCUUUGUGUGGUUGGAGAGAAUUAAUGAACUUGAAACUUGAACUGAUGAAAGAAAUAUUUGGCAAAUUUCGACUCUAUACUAGUGAACUGAUGCAUUAAAUAAGGAAUAUUAAUGGAUAAUAAUUCUUAGAGUAUUAUUAUGAGGUGAUCGAAACCGGACGGAAGUGACCAAAACUAAUAAAGCCUGGGGGGCUUUUUGAUAGAUUUGAUCAAGCCCGAUCUUAUUUGAUCACCUUAUAAUAUUCAAAGAACGAUUCCUUGUUUCUUCUAAGUAAAUAAUUUCAGUAAUUAUACGAUUAAAUAUGAAAAUAGUCAUUGCUGAAAUGUAUUAAACCUUCAAUUACAACAUCAAUUUGUACUUUUAUCGUAGACAAAGACACUGAAAAUGUAAAUAUUAUAGAUAUGAGGUAACCUAGUUAAAAGGUGAAACAAAGGAUCAUUAUUACGAAACUUGGUCGGGGAAAUUAACCGCCUUAUCAAUGCUUUGAUCACGAGUACAUUGCCUGCUAUAUAAGAGUUGGGAUCUUAAAUAGAUAAGUACCUGUAUUAUUACUUACCGCAAUCAUGAGAACCUUUGUCGUUUUAAGUAUAAUUUGUAUUCUGGGAGUUGCCCUCAGCCAGUCCUGUACAUCAGACACAGACUGCGCAGCAACGAAUUGCCAUGAAGGCCAGAGCGCCGUCUGUCAUGGCGGCUCAUGUCACUGUCACCAUGUCCACGAAUGCAACCAUGCCAACGAAUGCACGUGUGCUGACAAUGAGACGCCAUCUUGUGACCACCAUCAUUGCCAUUGUAACCCGGCGUAAUCGUAUAAAUGUUACAUUACAAUGCAA